rnacentral:rRNA from 1 species
UACGUAGGGCGCAAGCGUUAUCCGGAAUUAUUGGGCGUAAAGAGCUCGUAGGCGGUUUGUCGCGUCUGCUGUGAAAACCCGAGGCUCAACCUCGGGCCUGCAGUGGGUACGGGCAGACUAGAGUGAUGUAGGGGAGACUGGAAUUCCUGGUGUAGCGGUGAAAUGCGCAGAUAUCAGGAGGAACACCGAUGGCGAAGGCAGGUCUCUGGGCAUUAACUGACGCUGAGGAGCGAAAGCAUGGGGAGCGAACAGG